rnacentral:rRNA from 1 species
GAGGGGCAGCAUGGUCUUAGCUUGCUAAGGCCGAUGGCGACCGGCGCACGGGUGAGUAACACGUAUCCAACCUGCCGUCUACUCUUGGACAGCCUUCUGAAAGGAAGAUUAAUACAAGAUGGCAUCAUGAGUCCGCAUGUUCACAUGAUUAAAGGUAUUCCGGUAGACGAUGGGGAUGCGUUCCAUUAGAUAGUAGGCGGGGUAACGGCCCACCUAGUCUUCGAUGGAUAGGGGUUCUGAGAGGAAGGUCCCCCACAUUGGAACUGAGACACGGUCCAAACUCCUACGGGAGGCAGCAGUGAGGAAUAUUGGUCAAUGGGCGAGAGCCUGAACCAGCCAAGUAGCGUGAAGGAUGACUGCCCUAUGGGUUGUAAACUUCUUUUAUAAAGGAAUAAAGUCGGGUAUGGAUACCCGUUUGCAUGUACUUUAUGAAUAAGGAUCGGCUAACUCCGUGCCAGCAGCCGCGGUAAUACGGAGGAUCCGAGCGUUAUCCGGAUUUAUUGGGUUUAAAGGGAGCGUAGAUGGAUGUUUAAGUCAGUUGUGAAAGUUUGCGGCUCAACCGUAAAAUUGCAGUUGAUACUGGAUAUCUUGAGUGCAGUUGAGGCAGGCGGAAUUCGUGGUGUAGCGGUGAAAUGCUUAGAUAUCACGAAGAACUCCGAUUGCGAAGGCAGCCUGCUAAGCUGCAACUGACAUUGAGGCUCGAAAGUGUGGGUAUCAAACAGGAUUAGAUACCCUGGUAGUCCACACGGUAAACGAUGAAUACUCGCUGUUUGCGAUAUACUGCAAGCGGCCAAGCGAAAGCGUUAAGUAUUCCACCUGGGGAGUACGCCGGCAACGGUGAAACUCAAAGGAAUUGACGGGGGCCCGCACAAGCGGAGGAACAUGUGGUUUAAUUCGAUGAUACGCGAGGAACCUUACCCGGGCUUAAAUUGCAGAUGAAUUACGGUGAAAGCCGUAAGCCGCAAGGCAUCUGUGAAGGUGCUGCAUGGUUGUCGUCAGCUCGUGCCGUGAGGUGUCGGCUUAAGUGCCAUAACGAGCGCAACCCUUGUUGUCAGUUACUAACAGGUUCCGCUGAGGACUCUGACAAGACUGCCAUCGUAAGAUGUGAGGAAGGUGGGGAUGACGUCAAAUCAGCACGGCCCUUACGUCCGGGGCUACACACGUGUUACAAUGGGGGGUACAGAGGGCCGCUACCACGCGAGUGGAUGCCAAUCCCCAAAACCUCUCUCAGUUCGGACUGGAGUCUGCAACCCGACUCCACGAAGCUGGAUUCGCUAGUAAUCGCGCAUCAGCCACGGCGCGGUGAAUACGUUCCCGG